rnacentral:rRNA from 1 species
UACGUAGGGUGCAAGCGUUGUCCGGAAUUAUUGGGCGUAAAGAGCUCGUAGGCGGUCUGUCACGUCUGCUGUGAAAACUCGGGGCUUAACCCCGGGCCUGCAGUGGGUACGGGCAGACUAGAGUGCGGUAGGGGAGACUGGAAUUCCUGGUGUAGCGGUGAAAUGCGCAGAUAUCAGGAGGAACACCGGUGGCGAAGGCGGCAUCCUGGACCGGCAUUGACGCUGAGGAGCGAAAGCCAGGGGAGCAAACGGG